CCGAUCAUCUUGUAGAGUCCGAUAGUCGAAUAGUGUCCGAUGCAUUUAGUUGAUGACAGGUCGGUCAUCCAUUGCCCGAUUCUUUGUCGGGCAUAUGCGUCGUGACGUGUGAUAAAUGGUGGUAAGCCGAAUAUCCUUCGAUCGAUCGUGACCUGGUCGGUAUGUCGCGAAUGCGACGUUGGUCAUGUUGGCGUUUUGCCUUUCUUGGCCGGAGCUAAG
rnacentral:lncRNA from 1 species